rnacentral:rRNA from 1 species
AUUGAACGCUGGCGGCAGGCCUAACACAUGCAAGUCGAGCGAGUGGCGGACGGGUGAGUAAUGUCUGGGAGACUGCCUGAUGGAGAGGGCUAAACACAGGAGACGGUAGCUAAUAACGCAUACCAUCAGAUGUGCCCAGAUGUGAUUAGCUAGUAGGUGGGGGAACGGCCCACCCCGGCGACGAUCCCUAGCUGGUCUGAGAGGAUGACCAGCCACACUGGAACUGAGACACGGUCCAGACUCCUACGGGAGGCAGCAGUGGGGAAUAUUGGACAAUGGGCGAAAGCCUGAUGCAGCCAUGCCGCGUGUAUGAAGAAGGCCUUCGGGUUGUAAAGUACUUUCAGCGGGGAGGCGUUACCCGCAGAAGAAGCACCGGCUAACUCCGUGCCAGCAGCCGCGGUAAUUC